rnacentral:misc_RNA from 1 species
CGCACCUUGCGCCCUUUGGUAUUCCGAAGGGCAUGCCUGUUUGAGUGUCAUGAAACCUCACCCCACUUGGGUUUUUGCCCGAGCGGUGGUGGAUUGGGCGUCUGCCGUUAAUGGCUCGCCUGAAAAGCAUAAGCAACUUUGGAUGUAAUACGUUUCAUCCUUUCGAGUGGCUGACAGCCCCACAUAUUUCAUGAUCUGGCCUCAAAUCAGGUAGGGCUACCCGCUGAACUUAA